UACGAAGGGUGCUAGCGUUGUUCGGAAUUACUGGGCGUAAAGCGCGCGUAGGCGGCUUAUCAAGUCAGAGGUGAAAUCCCCAGGCUCAACCUGGGAAUUGCCUUUGAAACUGUUAGGCUUGAGUGUCGGAGGGGAUAGCGGAAUUGCUAAUGUAGAGGUGAAAUUCGUAGAUAUUAGCAGGAACACCGGUGGCGAAGGCGGCUAUCUGGACGACAACUGACGCUGAGGCGCGAAAGCGUGGGGAUCAAACAGG
rnacentral:rRNA from 1 species